rnacentral:rRNA from 1 species
CCUACGGGAGGCAGCAGUGAGGAAUAUUGGUCAAUGGACGGAAGUCUGAACCAGCCAUGCCGCGUGAAGGAUGACUGCUCUAUGGGUUGUAAACUUCUUUUAUAAAGGAAUAAAACGAGGCACGUGUGCCUUUUUGCAUGUACUUUAUGAAUAAGGAUCGGCUAACUCCGUGCCAGCAGCCGCGGUAAUACGGAGGAUCCGAGCGUUAUCCGGAUUUAUUGGGUUUAAAGGGAGCGUAGAUGGGUGGUUAAGUCAGUUGUGAAAGUUUGCGGCUCAACCGUAGAAUUGCAAUUGAUACUGGCAGUCUUGAGUACAGUUGAGGUAGGCGGAAUUCGUGGUGUAGCGGUGAAAUGCUUAGAUAUU